UACGUAGGGUCCGAGCGUUGUCCGGUAUUAUUGGGCGUAAAGGGCUCGUAGGCGGUUCGUCACGUCGGGAGUGAAAACUCGGAGCUCAACUCCGAGCCUGCUUCCGAUACGGGCAGACUAGAGGUAGGCAGGGGAGAGCGGAACUCCUGGUGUAGCGGUGGAAUGCGCAGAUAUCAGGAGGAACACCGGUGGCGAAGGCGGUUCUCUGGGCAUGUCCUGACGCUGAGGAGCGAAAGUGUGGGGAGCGAACAGG
rnacentral:rRNA from 1 species